GUAAGGGACAUCAGUACAGGUGGUGCAUGGCUGUCGUCAGCUCGUGUCGUGAGAUGUUGGUUAAGUCCGCAACGAGCGCAACCCUUAUUCUUAGUUGUUUCCCUUUGGGAUUACCUCUAAGAAGACUGCCUCGGAUAACGGGGAGGAAGGUGGGGAUGACGUCAAGUCCGCAUGCUCCUUACGUCUAGGGCUACACACGUCCUACAAUGGGGUCGACAAUGGGAUGCAAUAUCGCAAGAUGGAGCCAAUCCCCAAACGGCCUCUCAGUUCGGAUUGUAGUCUGCAACUCGACUACAUGAAGUUGGAAUCGCUAGUAAUGGCAGAUCAGCAUGCUGCCGUGAAUACGUUCCCGGGUCUU
rnacentral:rRNA from 1 species